rnacentral:rRNA from 1 species
GCUUGUCUCAAAGAUUAAGCCAUGCAUGUCUCAGUAUAAGCUUUUACACGGCGAAACUGCGAAUGGCUCAUUAAAACAGUUAUCGUUUCUUUGGUGGUUAUUGAUUACAUGGAUAACCGUGGUAAUUCUAGAGCUAAUACAUGCGCCCAGACCCAACUUUUAGGAAGGGUUGUAUUUAUUAGGUACAGAACCAAUGCAAGCUCCGCUUGACCUUUUGGUGAUUCAUGGUAACCGAACGAACCGCGUUCAGCGGUGAUUCUUUCUACAUUAUUCCCUAUCAGCUUUCGUUUUUUGUGUAGUGGACAAAAAAGGCUUUGACGGGUAACGGAGAAUUAGGGUUCGAUUCCGGAGAGGGAGCCUGAGAGAUGGCUACCACAUCCAAGGAAGGCAGCAGG